GGAUUGUGGCUCAGUGGUAGAGCGUUUGCCUAACAUGUGUGAGGCACUGGAUUCGAUUCUCAGCACCA
rnacentral:tRNA from 1 species